GGCCGCCUACGCCGUGCCCCGGGUGCCGCGCUCGGCGGGCGCGGCCCUGGCACACCUGGGCCGCCUGAUCGUGUUCGGCUGGCGGCUGC
rnacentral:tRNA from 1 species